CAGAAGGAGGUUGCUUACUAUAGAAGCUCGGAUGGAGACUGAUUACCGUGGAAGCCCGGAUGGAGACCGCUUACUGUAGAAGCUCGGAUGGAGAUCGAUUGCCGUAGAAGCCCGGAUGGAGACCGCUUAUUGUAGAAGCUCGGCUGAAAUUCGAAAGGCGAUCGAUCACUGUAGAAACUUGGAUGGAGUCUGGUUACUGGAGAAGUACUACUGUUGGAGAAGCCUGAACAUUGAAGAAGUCCGAAAGAAGCUCGGAGUAAAGUCGAUCGUGAUAGAAGGA
rnacentral:lncRNA from 1 species